GAGUUUGACAGUAAGCUCCCCAACCUGUUUGUACAGCGUCUGCACAACAGGGUCCUGAUCCCACCAAAGACCUCCAGGCCCCAGCCCUGGUGGAGACCUCCAGGCCCCAGCAGGGACCUCCAGGCCCUGGCCCCAGUGGAGACCUCCAGGCCCUGGCCCCAGUGGAGACCUCCAGGCCCUGGCCCCGGCAGAGACCUCCAGGCCCUGGCCCCGGCAGAGACCUCCAGGCCCUGGAAGAGUGCAAAUGCCACUGAGCCUGAGUCUGAAAAAACCACAGAGAAGACCUGCAAGAUUGGUGACUUCAUUGAAAACUCUCUCCAGGCAAUAUUUUCUCUCUCCAUGGUUCUCCACACCUCCGACUUUACCAUGAAUGUCACUGAACUUCUCAAGGCUCUCCCCUAAAAUUAAGAAUUAAGUUUGAAAUUGAAGGGUUCAAAACUGAGGCUUCAAAAACUCAGUUUCAUUUCAUUAAUGCUCCCUGCACCCCUUCUACUUCAAUUAGGAAUUUUGUCAUAUAUGCUAAAGUUCAUUAAUUAUCAUAUUUUGGGGUCUUGGCAGGCAGUUUAAAAAUAAUCCCAUAGCCUUUGGAGCUUUGAUUUCAGAAGAUU
rnacentral:lncRNA from 1 species